GAUGAACGCUGGCGGCGUGCCUAAUACAUGCAAGUCGAGCGAACGGACGAGAAGCUUGCUUCUCUGAUGUUAGCGGCGGACGGGUGAGUAAAACGUGGAUAACCUACCUAUAAGACUGGGAUAACUUCGGGAAACCGUAGCUAAUACCGGAUAAUAUUUUGAACCGCAUGGUUCAACAGUGAAAGACGGUCUUGCUGUCACUUAUAGAUGGAUCCGCGCUGCAUUAGCUAGUUGGUAAGGUAACGGCUUACCAAGGCAACGAUGCAUAGCCGACCUGAGAGGGUGAUCGACCACACUGGAACUGAGACACGGACCAGACUCCUACGGGAGGCAGCAGUAGGGAAUCUUCCGCAAUGGGCGAAAGCCGGACGGAGCAACGCAGCGUGAGUGAUGAAGGUCUGCGGAUCGUAAAACUCUGUUAUGAGGGAAGAACAGAUGUGUAAGUAACUGUGCACAUCUUGACGGUACCUAAUCAGAAAGCCACGGCGAACUACGUG
rnacentral:rRNA from 1 species